AUACUGUCAAUGACUCAAAACUGUUUAAUACUUUCAUACCACGAUGUAUUUCCCAGAGAGACUCUAUUCCUUCUUUCACCUUUCUUUGUCUCAAACCACUUUCUUUUGCCACAACACUUGUAUUUUCCCAAUCAACUCCACUUAAACAAUUCACAUUGUGUCGCGCUAAUCCCCCGUCUUCCUUUCCCAUUCGUUCAUUCGCCAUUGUCAGGUUCCCGUUUUUGGUAUCUUCAUUCGUUAGUCUCACUUUGCUUUGAUGGAGGCCCAUUUUAGAAAGAUAUUUCGAUAAUGAGA